AGAUCAAGAGAUUUAAGAUGUAUCCCUGAGGAAGAAGGAAAAGGAUGUAAUGACAGGCUUGAUAGAUGUGGGGUGGGAACGGGGAGUGUGCAGGAGAGGGAGGCUUAUGAACACAGCCGAGACGGCCAGCCGAACUAGCAGGGCCACUCAGUGGACACGGAUCUUGUUAAGGACAGGAAGAGAGGUAAAAAUAAACAGGAUGGCUUUGAUGUUUUGUUUUUUGAGUCUGGGGUAGUAGGUCAUCUGAAAACAAGUAUAACAGGCAAUUGGAUAUGUGAGUCUGGGUUCAAAUAUUAUUUUUGAAGUCAUCCAUACACAGGUAGGUAAGUCGUAGGCAUGAGUGGUACCAUUGCUAGAGGAGGGCAGUAGAGGGAUCUGCAGCUCUCUUCCCCGUCUCUUAAGAGAUACAGUUUCUUCCAGUAAGAAUGAUGAGUGAGAGGGCAUGUGUUAGUGUUUCCCACACUGGGAUGGAGGGCGAGGCAGUCCCCCAGGUGAUUUAGAGUGAAAUGAGAGCAGAACUGAGGAAAGGAAUUAGUCAAAAAGAGACAAAGUCUGAGAGGAAGAGCUUCCUGGCAGGAGAGACAUAGGGGAAGGAACUUGAGCAAGGCCUCAAAAAGGCCUUGGUGAGAGCGGUGCUUUCUCUGAGAAAUCCUGCGGUGUGGAGACUGUUGCUCAGUCUAAGCUGGCUCACUGAGAUCUACUGCGUAGCAGGCAAGACUACAGUAAAGGUUUGAGCAAACCAAUUCUGUGUGACUCUUCUGUGUUGCCAACACUUCAAGCCUUAAAUAUUCAAAUACAGCAGGAUUGUAAUUGCAGUCUUGAAAACCGAUGUGAGUCUUAGCAAAUUUUCUUCUCUCCAUGCUUAGUAUCUUAGAAACCACCUCUGUGUGCUAAGCCUGAUCUGAGAGGGAAGCCACCUCUGUGUGCUAGCCUGAUCUGAGAGGGAAGCCACCUCUGUGUGCUAGCCUGAUCUGAGAGGGAACCCACUUCUGUGUGCUAGCCUGAUCUGAGAGGGAAGCCACUUCUGUGUGCUAGCCUGAUCUGAGAGGGAAGCCACCUCUGUGUGCUAGCCUGAUCUGAGAGGGAAGCCACCUCUGUGUGCUAGCCUGAUCUGAGUGGGAAGCCACAUCUGGGCCUGUUCUUUGGAAAUAUGGGCACAUGACAAACAGAGCUUCCUAUCGCUCGCGCCUGGGAAGACCUUCCCUGGCCAUGUUGGAAUGCCAUCAGCCUUUCUGGUUCUCAGAUAAUUUUGAUGCUUUUAUGUGCCACUUCUUUUGUUGUUAAUAUUAUUUUUUAAAAUAAGGGAUUUUCUACCCGGCUCUACAUAAGCUAAGCAAAGGCCCCAUCUCAGGAAUUCUACUCAGAUAUGACUUGAUGCCCCUUGUAUCCUGCAUGGAGAAUUCUGGGUAGCACAAGUUGGUUCAUUUGACAUCUGGCGUUCACGGCUCCUGUGAGAGCAGCUUCCCCCUCGAUGUGCCCUGAAAGUGUUCCUGCUGCGCGGCUUCUGUCCGAGUAUAAACACGUCACAGGAAAUGAACCCGUCAAGAAGUGGCUUUCCAAGAAGGAAUAACAAAGUGCCUGGCCCAGCUCCACCUGGAUUGGAUGUCCAGUUUCAGGAAAUGUGAGCAGCCAUUGGGGUGGAGGUUAUUGUCCUGCGUCAAUGGCACCUUGGUCCGCUUCUGCUUUAAGCUCCCCAAGAGCAGCAUGCUUUAGAAUCCACAGCAUCCUUCCAGCUGUCCCUAGGGAGGUUUGCUGAGGAAAAUUGCUUCAGGACCUUUAACAUGUGAGGGAGGAGACGAGUGUCUUCGUUGUACUCAUGAGGGCAGCUGGAUUUAGUUGUUUACAGUUGUAAACAUGGAAUUGCAUAGGCUGAGGUCAGGGACACAUUUUGAAAUAAUUGAAAGUCUACAGUUAGGCCUAUAAAUAAUUAAAUGGAUUCAUUUUGGUGGCUUGCUUUAAUAUGCAGAUAUUAGAACGAUGAAAGAAAAUGGGUAUGCAACAAGGAAGUUAAGACACCAAAGCACAAGAAAGGAAAGCCUUCCCUUUGGCCUGCUGUGGUCUUUCCAGGUCCGUUUUCUGCUCCAGCUUAAUGAUGCAUUUUAAGGAGAGCCAUGUACUCUCUUGUCUCUAUACUCAGACUGCAGCAAGUAUCUGCCCAGCCACCCUUUCAGAUCCACUUCAAGGAAAUGCAGGCUAGAAACUGCUCCCCAUGGUUUUGUCUGAACUGGCUGGCAUUCUGCAGCACACACUGGGUCCGCUGCUGGAGUCAGGAACCUGGAGGUGAGCAGCAUCGAACUGCACUUAGCAGAGUGAGGCAGGCGGGCCUGCGAGAAAGGAUGUAGGAGUACUGCCUCCUGGACUGGGUCAGACAGUCACAGAACACAGGCUUCAAACCGCCUUUCACACCAUUCUUGUUGGAAAUAGAACCACUGGAGGCUCAUCGUGUUACCUUUGGCAAAAAUGGAAGCAAAUCAAGACGUUGAGAAUGCCAGUGGUCAGCCGUUCAUUAACAAGGCUUUGUAAAGGAAGUCUCCCGAACAGUGUGCCUCACUUGCCUCAACAGUAGUUGAACCUGUCUCAGCUGCUCCUUAAUCAAUACAACCCCUCCAAAUGGAUGUGGACUGAGACAUACAUUACCUUUCAAGUUAAUUGAAUGCUUACUAUGUAUGACUCACUGUGAAAAAGAUGGGAGAGGAAAUGGGAAGACAAAUAAGGCACAGGGCUUGCCUUUAGUGAAGCUACAAUUAGUCUCAGGAUGCAUAUUUCUUUCUUCUGCUUGUAAUUAAAAUUUUCUCUAAUCCAAGAAACAAAUGAAUGGGAAAACAUAUUCUGUAAAUAUUUUAAGCUUCAUUAAUGAGAAACAAAAUAGAACAUAGCACAACAACAGCAAAACAAUCUGGGAAAUUCAAGACAUUUUAAUCCUUUAUUCUUUUAUUGUAUUAUUUUACAGUGCUGAAAUAAAGUCUACUUUAUUUUUUCCAUAAAUAUUUGGUAAACUCUAGAGACUAUGCUUUGAGUUAAUUUGAAUUCAAUCCUACCUUUUCCUCUAGGUGUAAGCUGUCUGCUGGAAAGCACAUAUUGCUUAUACAGUUCUCAGGGUGUGGGGUGGUGAGUUACACCUGUUAUCACUACAGGCAUUUACCUUCUGUGUCCUCAAGACCACCAUUCUGAGUGAGAUCCCAGUGAGGAGAAGAGGGAGAUCUAGAUAAAACUGGGGGGUUUCGACUCUCAGGUCCAAGACUGGACAGAGAGCAACAAAACCUCUGGCAAAGAAUCUUGAAAAUCUGGCUGAACAAUUUUCAAAAGUAUUUAUCUCUUGACUCCCAUAGCUUGAAUCACUAUGCAGUUUUCCUAAAAGUUUAUGUCUGACUUGAGAAUGAGUCGUUACUUUUCCGGUGUUAAGACACUGAUAUCACUAGAGACACUGGACAUCUUAGUGUCAUGUCUGUGACCCAUUUCAAUACUGAUGAGCCAACAACAGCAUCUUUGUCGUGAGUAGUGUCCAUGUAAUUGAAAAUGUGCCAACUCUUUUUAAAACAUCAUCAACAGACUUCUUAAUUAAGCUGCCAAUACCAUUGUCAAUACCACUGUGUGCUGUUUGAGAACUGAAUAGUGUUGCCUGCGCCUUGUUAAAUAAACAGUGCUCCCCCAUA